GCCCGGGUGGCGGAAUUGGUAGACGCAAGGGACUUAAAAUCCCUCGGUUGAAUAAGCUGUGCCGGUUCGAGUCCGGCCCCGGGCA
rnacentral:tRNA from 1 species